rnacentral:tRNA from 1 species
GUCUCUAUCGUCUAGUUCGGUUAGGACGCUACGUUGUGGUGCCGUGGAAACGGUUGUUCGAAUCAGCCUAGGGACA